rnacentral:rRNA from 1 species
GGUUGACCUCGGAUCAGGUAGGAGUUACCCGCUGAACUUAAGCAUAUCAAUAAGCGGAGGAAAAGAAACCAACCGGGAUUGCCUCAGUAACGGCGAGUGAAGCGGCAAGAGCUCAAAUUUGAAAUCUGGCCCCCCGGGGUCCGAGUUGUAAUUUGCAGAGGAUGCUUCGGGUGCGGUCCCCAUCUAAGUGCCCUGGAACGGGCCGUCAUAGAGGGUGA